rnacentral:rRNA from 1 species
GUUGAACGCUGGCGGCAUGCUUUACACAUGCAAGUCGGGCGGAAAGUGGUGUUUCCAGUGGCGGACGAGUGAGGAACGCGUAAGAAACUGCUAGGAGGAGGGGAACAACAGCUGGAAACGGCCGCGAAAAGGGCGCAAGUACCGGAGACGAAGGAGGGAUGAGACCAAGGGUGGGCCGGCGUCUGCGCAACCAGUUGGUGAGUUAAUAGCUUACCAAGGCGGUGAUCAGAAGCUGGUCCAAGAGGAUGAUCAGCCACACUCGGACUGGGACAAGGCGCAGGCUCCUAUGGGAGGCAGGAGUGAGGCUGUUUCCGCCAUGGGCGAAGGGCGAACAAGGUCAUCGCAUGGUGAAGUACAAUGCGUUGGGAUCAUGAACAGCAUGUCCUGAACUUGAUGCUUUGACGUUAUCUAGAGAAUAAGCAGCGGCUAACUCUGUG